GAGUCGGCCCCUGGGUCAAAGCCGCCGGAGACCUCCUGACCCUAUUGCUCGGUGGCAACGCAGCCGGCGACUUCAAGCUGAAGGCCCUGCUGGGGUACCCCUCGGAGAACCCGUGUUUCCUCAAGGGCUCCUUCAAGCCCAACCUGCCCUUGGUGUGGUGCUCGCACAAGAAAGCCUGGGUACAGCCUGGGUGACAGAGCGAGACUCCGUCUCAAAAAAAAAAAAAAAAGCCUGGGUAACCAUGAGCCUCUUCCAGGAGUGGUUCCUGCACUUCUGCUCUACAGUGGAGGGCGCUGCACCCAGUACGACCUUCCCUACAAGGGGCUGCCCAUCCUGGACAGCACUCCCGGCCACCCUGGGUGUUGAGACAGAGUCUGGCUCUGUCGCGCAGGCUGGAGUGCGGUGGCGCGAUCUCGGCUCACUGCAACCUCCGCCUCCCGGGUUCACGCCAUUCUCCUGCCUCAGCCUCCCAGGUAGCUGGGACUACAGGCGCCCGCCACCACGCCCGGCUAAUUUUUUUGUAUUUUUAGUAGAGACGGGGUUUCACCGUGUUAGCCAGAAUGGUCUCGGUCUCCUGACCCCAUGA
rnacentral:lncRNA from 1 species